CAGUCGCCGCGGGAAUACGGAGGGGGCUAGCGUUGUUCGGAAUUACUGGGCGUAAAGCGCACGUAGGCUGCUUUGUAAGUUAGAGGUGAAAGCCUGGUGCUCAACACCAGAACUGCCUUUAAGACUGCAGAGCUAGAACGUCGGAGAGGUGAGUGGAAUUCCGAGUGUAGAGGUGAAAUUCGUAGAUAUUCGGAAGAACACCAGUGGCGAAGGCGGCUCACUGGACGACUGUUGACGCUGAGGUGCGAAAGCGUGGGGAGCAAACAGGAUUAGAUACCCCCGUAGUCCCUGUCUCUUAUAC
rnacentral:rRNA from 1 species